rnacentral:lncRNA from 1 species
CACACCAACCUGACACUGAAACAUAUUACUACAUUCAAAUAUUCCAUUUUCUCAAAUUAUUACAAGACGUGUAAGUGUAAUGUUUGGUGUAUGUCUAUGUAUGUGCCAAUGAUGUAACUUAGUCCUGGUUUUGGCUUGGACAAAAAGUUUCUCCAGUAGCUUUUCUCAGUAAAAUGUAAAGCCUUAAGCUCUUGAUGUUUAGAGGGAUAUCACACUACUAGAAAAUUUUGAACUACCAAAAAAAACUAAAAGCUGAAAAAUAUAAAAUACGUCUUUAAUUUAAUUAGUUCUAUUACUAUGCGAUAGAGACGCCAAAAUUAGAGAUGUAUUUUAUUUUUUCAGUCUCUUAAGUUUUCCGGUAAUUCUAUUUUCCGUUAAAAAAAUAAAAGUAGUGUCAAUUUUCUAUGCUAGAAUUGGUCUUGAGUUUGUUCUUUUCAAAUAGCAAGCUCUAUCUUGAAAAUGCAUGUAGUUUUAAAAGAUCAUACAUAGUUCCUUGAUCUUUUUGUGAUUAGGAUGUCAUGUGUUAAUAGAUAUUUUGGUGGAUCAUCAUUUUGGAGCUCAAUUUUAUACUCAAAAUAUGGUGUUGUUGCAUGUUGUUAUUUGUUUUUUCAUUUUUUUAUUAUGGAUUCAACUUUUUCUAGUAAUUUGUUUAGGCUUUUACUUGGGAGAAGUGGUAAAAAUCUUAAUUAGCAUUUGUCUUUUAUGCAAUAGACGUUUUUAUAGGGUAUCUCUGUUUUUUGCCAUUCUUAAUGGUUUUAUUUAUUGCAAGUAGCAAGAAUGGGUGGAAAUUAAAUUAUUUUGGUCCUAAGUGAAAGUUACAACAUGCUAGUAUCAAAUUUGGCCCAAAUAUGUAUAUGAAAAAAGACAGAUCAUAAC